AGAAAAAGGUAAAAAGUUGUCAGAGUGAGCUCGCUUAAGUUACUGAUAAACGAGGUUCAGAAGAAGUUCUUAUACUACUGGAAUUAGAUUACAUUUAAAAUUAUACUUACAUCUAAUAAUUCAUUGUUAUUAUACCUACAUCUAACCUAAACUAUUAGUACGGGUUUUCUUAUAAGCUAAAAGUCUGGUAAAAGGAUUACUCCGUUAUAGUUAGUACGAAUUUCUAAAAGUACGGGCUGUUCUAAUACAGGUUGUUAUAGUACGGAUGAACAACAGAAGGAGACUAAACGGAUUUACAACUCUGUUCCUGUACAAUAAAAACGAGUUUAAAACCGGAAAAAAAUCUGUCUGUCCGUUGCUAUCGCAACACUUUGUGAAUCCGUUUACGAUCGGGGGUUCAAGUCAUUCGGUAUGUCAAAGAAAAGUGAUGGGCGAGCGGCAUCACCCAAGCCACUGCCGGGUGUUAGUUGCGAAAUAUGUCGGAAACCGGAUAAUGACCGUAUGGUAGCGUGUGAUUCGUGCGAUCAGUGGUAUCAUUUCGCGUGUGUUAGCGAGGAUUCGAGUGUACAGGAUCGGGAGUGGUGCUGUCUGAAAUGUGUUGAAGCAGCGAAGCAACAUCCAUCUGGUACAUCAACCCCUAACAGCAAUACUGGAACGAUACCAAAGCCGGGAACUGGCCAACCAACGGAUUCGAAGCUGGAAGAAUAUUUACGGACGCAAUUAGCGGCGAUGCAGAAAAGGUUUGAGCGAAUUCUUAAGGAAAAAGACGUACUGCGGACGAACGAGCUUAAGGAUCAAAGGGCUUAAUAUGAACAAGAGCUGAGAGAUUCGGAGCGGCGAGUACUAGAACAGGUGGAAAGACAACACCAGUUAACCGGGUCAAACGGAAUAGGACCGACGGCGAGUUUGACUGGUAUUCCGUUGCCGCGAAUCAACGAACAGGAUGUUCCCCAGGAGAAUAAGGUUAUAGUGAAUGAAAUGAAAAUGCUGUAAGAAAUGCAGGCACUGGAAAGGAAGCAUUUGGAAGAGCGAAAUCGACUUCUUCUUCGGCAAGCACAUGCUGAUGGAGGCUCGGCUAGCGGAAGUACUGGACUGAAUCCCUUGGCGACAGGGUUUCAGCCGAGAGCUAGUGACUUUCCCGGAUAUGUUUCGUUGAGUCAAAACCAGAUCUCUGCGCGACAGGCUGUUAAUAAGGAACUACCCAUGUUUUCAGGGAACCCAGAAGAGUGGCCGCUUUUCAUAGCGAGUUACGAAAAUUCGACAAGGAUUUGCGGAUAUAGCGAUGAAGAAAUGUGGUUAUUACCCAGUUAGACUGUGGAUGAUGAUUAACCCCAACUUAGGGACUUGUUUCUGAAUGAGGACUUUACGCCAUCAAGUACUGGUUACGAAUACAUGAGUUUAUUUCAAUAUCACUAAAUCGAACUUAAUGCUAGUCAAAAUACAUAAUUGGAAAAUAGAGAGACGAGAGUGUCUCUCAAGAAAGAGAGAGAAUUGGAGGUACCUGGUAACAGGCAUGUGUACUUGAAUUUUAUGACGGUUGUCAACCCGUCGUGAAAUAUGGAAAUGCUGUAAUUUGAGUACGGUCGAGGCUGAGCCUGUGAACUUGCAUCGUUGGUGGUUCUAACAUAGGCAAUUGAACCCAAGCGUUAUUGCUCACGCUGCGAGACCUCAACGAUAGAAUUGAAGGUUGCUAUGCCACAUCUGUUUGCAAUAUGCAACUCAAAUAUUUCAUACUACAUCUUCCCCUUUUAUGAAAAAUGAUGAGCGUAGGGAAAUCAUUUUUAAAUCAUAAAAUGUUACCAAAUACCUUCAAAUUUUAAAUCUAGUUAUAUAAUAAUGGUUUGAUAUCGUUUUCAAUGUUACGUUAUAGUUUAAUUAUUCGGUUCUUAUGUACUGUUUUUUGUCCGUUUGUGAUACAAUUUUUUAUUGUUAUAUUUGGGUGAUUAAUUGAUAUUACCUCGUGUGGGCCAUUGUAUACCAUAUCUAGUUUUCUAUUAUUUUCAGAUUUUAGUAGUAUUUUUUCUCCGAUUGAGAUAUCUGUAGGUUUUGCUGUUGCUGAUUGUUUUGUAAUUCUUUUUUGUUUGGAUUUUAUUAAUAAUUCUCUAGCCUUACUUGCUGCGUAUUGUAGUCUGUAAUUAAGUUCGGUAUAAUAACUAUCGUAAUUAUGAAUUGGAUCUAUUUUCUCGGGAUUUGCUAAUCUUUGAGGAUAAUUUGCCAAAUUUCCAAAGACCAAUUCAUAUGGUGUGUAAUUAUGCUCAGUGUUGGGAGUAGUAUUAUAGCAGAAAGUAUAGUAUUUAGGCCAAGAAUCCCAAUCAUCUUGUUGCUCACUAAUAAAUUGUCGUAAAUAUUCAUUAAGGCAUCGAUGAUUGCGUUCUAAGCCACCUAUUGUUUGCGGGUGGUAGGCUGUAGAAAAAUUGUGAUUAAUUGAAAGUAAUAGACAUAUAUUUUGGAACAGUUCGUUCUUGUAUUCCGUUCCUAAAUCUGUUUUUAUCAAAAUUGGGCAUCCGAAUAUAAGUAUAAAAUGAUCUACGAAUGCUUUCGCAAGAGUUUGUGCUUGCUUAUCGGGUAUAGGUACGGCAAUAACGUACUUUGUGAGAUCACAUUGUAACGUCAAGGCGUAUCUAUUCCCAUUUAUGGUUUUUGUCAUAGGACCUAUUGUAUCAAUAGAUACAAGGUUGAAUGCUUUACUGGGAGUAGUUGUUUCAAUAAAUUUUUCCCUCGUAUGUAUCGUGUGUUUAUUUCUUUUACAAUCAAUGCAGUUUUUAACGAACUGAUUGAUAGUUUUUCGCAUGUUUUUCCAGUAAUAUGUCGUUCGUAGUUUAUUUAAUAAUCUUGUGGUUCCAACAUGUCCACCUAGAGGAGACGUGUGACUUUCAAGAAUUAUUUUGUCGAUGUCAGUUUUGUUUGUUAUAAUUUGUGCUGGUGUGUAGACUACUAGGUCUACUUCAUUUAGUGAUUUAUUAUAUAGCGCUUUAAAAUUUUCAGAGUUGAUUUUCGAAAAAAUAACACUGUUUCUUGCAAUUGCUAAUCUUUUUAUAUUUAAAUGUGUGGCCAUCACAUUAAUUAUGUCAAUUAUUUCUUUGACAUCUUGUAUUUCCUUGCACUUAUUUUCAGAAAGUUGCGCUUGAGCAAGAUUCUUUUUCAUUUUUUUAUCAUAUAUAUCCAUUGUCAAAGUUGGUGUGGUUUCAUUUAUUUUCAAAACUAGU